UCAGGACUGUUACUGUGAAAAAAUUAGAGUGUUUAAAGCAGGCUUAAGCUUGAAUACAUUAGCAUGGAAUAAUGAAAUAGGACGUUUGAUCUUAUUUUGUUGGUUUCUAAGAUCGACGUAAUGAUUAAUAGGGAUAUUGGGGGCAUUAGUAUUCAAUUGUCAGAGGUGAAAUUCUUGGAUUUAUUGAAGACUAACUACUGCGAAAGCAUUUGCCAAGGAUGUUUUCAUUAAUCAAGAACGAAAGUUAGGGGAUCGAAGACGAUCAGAUACCGUCGUAGUCUUAACCAUAAACUAUGCCGACUAGGGAUCGGAUGAUGUUAAUUUUUAAUGACUCAUUCGGCGCCUUACGGGAAAC
rnacentral:rRNA from 2 species